rnacentral:rRNA from 1 species
UACAGAGGUCCCAAGCGUUGUUCGGAUUCAUUGGGCGUAAAGGGCGCGUAGGCGGGCCGGAUAGUCUGUGGUGAAAGCCUCCAGCUUAACUGGAGAAGUGCCAUGGAUACUGCCGGUCUGGAGGAGGGUAGGGGCAUCUGGAACGCUGGGUGGAGCGGUGAAAUGCGUUGAUAUCCAGCGGAACUCCGGUGGCGAAGGCGAGGUGCUGGACCCUUUCUGACGCUGAGGCGCGAAAGCCAGGGGAGCAAACGGG